rnacentral:rRNA from 18 species
GGAAACGGUUGCUAAUACCCCAUAUGCUUUCGAGUGAAAUGGAUUUUUCCGCCUAGAGAGAAGCUUGCGGCUGAUUAGCUUGUUGGUGAGGUAAUGGCUCACCAAGGCGACGAUCCGUAGCUGGUCUUAGAGGAUGAUCAGCCACACCGGGACUGAGACACGGCCCGGACUCCUACGGGAGGCAGCAGUGGGCAAUUUUCCGCAAUGGGCGAAAG